AGCCAGACUCCUACGGGAGGCAGCAGUGGGGAAUAUUGCACAAUGGGGGGAACCCUGAUGCAGCGACGCCGCGUGGGUGAAGGAGUACUUCGGUACGUAAAGCCCUAUCAGCAGGAAAGAAAAUGACGGUACCUGACUAAGAAGCCCCGGCUAACUACGUGCCAGCAGCCGCGGUAAUACGUAGGGGGCGAGCGUUAUCCGGAUUUACUGGGUGUAAAGGGAGCGUAGACGGUAGUGCAAGUCCGGAGUGAAAGCCCGGGGCUCAACCGCGGGACUGCAUUGGGAACUACCGGGCUGGAGUGCCGGAGAGGUAGGCGGAAUUCCUAGUGUAGCGGUGAAAUGCGUAGAUAUUAGGAGGAACACCAGUGGCGAAGGCGGCCUACUGGACGGUGACUGACGCUGAGGCUCGAAAGCGUGGGGAGCAAACAGGAUUAGAUACCCGGGUA
rnacentral:rRNA from 1 species